rnacentral:lncRNA from 1 species
AAUGUUCAUGGCUAAUAAGUUUAUUAAUUUAUUAAAUUAUUUUUAAAAAAUAUUUUGAUGUUAAAUAAUUGAUAAAAUGGUUUUAGUUUAAAAUUAUAACUCUUAUUCCCCUUGUUUCACUCUAACCAUCCAAAUACUAUUUAUCUUACUCCUACGAACAACUCAAUUUUCAUCCAAACGCAAAAUUAGUCUUAUUCCUGCUUAUAUCUGAACUUGUACCUAUUCUUAAAACAAGCCGUUCUUAUUUAUAUCCGAACCAAAUGCAGCAUUGAAAACUCAAUGUACUUUGACUAACUGUUUCUAGCGCAAGUAAUAAAGGACUUAAUGUACUUUAGAUAUCUAGUUGAUUCCUACUUAAUUCACAUUUUCAGCUAAGUUUAUUUUUUUAAACGAAGAAAGUAACAUGUUACUUGUCUCUCAAAAAAAAAAAGAAAAAAAAAUGAAGACUCAAU